UCUGAGCAUUAUUUUAAAUCAUCUGAGUGUCUGUCUUAUUUACAUUCCACUGUGAAAAAUCAAUUGAACCUUUAUCAUGGUGUAAGGAAAGAAGGAAACAGGAACGGGUAACCCGCUUCUCUGAUAACAAUAGGAAUUUAAGUGUGAUCGUGGGAUCCACUCAGACCUCCGCUCCUUUUCCCUGAGACACGUGUAAGCUGUCCACUCCCUCCCUAGCAUGGUCCAGGUUCUCAAGCUUGCACCACUGGAGGCUUCACUCAGUUUCACCUGAUCCUAACAAUUGUCAGAGUGGACGUCUGCACCCUAACCCACAGCCUGACUCCAAGGCACCCUGAUAUGGCAUGCCAGGCCAGAGGCAUCUGCUCUGAAAUUGCUGAGCGAACCAGGAGAGCCGCUGCUUUCCUGAGACCAUCUGCAAACCAAGAGAGCUGGUCAGCGAAGCCAAGUUGGUCGCCUGCUUCAGGGACCAUCCAAGAGGAGGUCUCUUUUGCUGGGAAGUUCUGUUUUGCAAGGUAGCAGAGCAGGAACAAGAUCAAAGUCUAAGGAAGGACAGGAUCGCUUCUACCACCCGCCCAGGAAGUCUGACCACCGAGCCGUCUCAGAAUGCCCACAGCGGGUCCCCACAAGUCGCCGACUUGGGCACCUCCAAGCCCAUCCUAUGAACGGAGUAACUGUCCACCGCAGACAGACCAAACGUUCCUCCCGAAGUUCGCUCCCAGCCAAAGAACGGUGCAUUCCCUCAUCAGCUAGCUCCCCUCUGCUCCCCACAGGUUCCUUGGCUGUCCUGCUCCUCACCGGAAAGCGUGUGAGCACACACGCCCGUGCACACGCCCACCGCCCGUCUGCAGAGUCGGGCCAGCGAUCGACCCCGACGGAGCUCGGCACCCAGGGCGCAGGAGGAAGCCGGGCGCGCCCAGCUCCUCCCCGGCUCACGCAGCUAGGACGCCGGCGCCCCGCCGAAGGAUUUCUUUUUUCUUUUUCUUUUUUUUUUUUUUUUACUGUUGGGACAGCGAGCCCCAAGAAGAGAAGGUACAGCUUUCCCAGAGAAGGCAAGAGGUGUUCUGCCAAAAGCAGCUGCUUCUCUGGUCUCAGGGUGAGGAGAGGAGGAAACGUCAGAGUGGUUGGAGAGCUACUGUGCACAGCCCCUGUUGGGAGCACUGCCGGACCACAGCUCAGCUAGAACAGCAGGAGGACUUCUUGGAGCAGGUGAUUGUUGGCAUAGCUGGAGAAAGACGCUGGGACAGAGAAAUCCUCCUAAGAAAGAGGGGCCCGGCCAUCCUGAACAGCUGCUGACCUGGAUGAUUUACUUUUCUCAUGGCCUAACGGCCAGGAAAGAGAGGAGUAGGGAAACCAGUGGAAGGAGAACCUGGAGCUGCGAUACACGCCUGGAUUGCCACCGUGGGUUGCUGGUGGGAAGGAGAGAAAAGCCCAAGAAAUAGAGAACAGAGAAGGCAUCCAUGUGGAAGUGAGGGAGACAUUGGUGGCAACUAAGAUCUGGCCCGUGCAAUCAGCAUGCCCACUCUUGACAGAACGUAGCCAAAGGAGGAAGGGUGGGGUAGGGGAGAGAAGGUGGGGUCACAAAGGGCUUGUUCAGAUGGCCUGGACAGUAGGUAGAUGAUCACCAUAGUAGGCCCUGAGCUUGGUGACUGCUCAUGGAGGUGGUGGCUGAACCUCGAGAAGGGAAUGCACCUCCCAGCAAGAAUCUCUUGAGACAUAGGUUCAGGGUGGGCCCUAGCAACAUCAGGGUAGGCCCAGGGGCUAGAGCCAGAGAGGAGGGAAUGAACCAGGGGAGGGGAGUCUUCCUAGCACACAGAGGCAGUGUUUCUAUGAGAACACAGGCUUGCACAGGUGGCAGAGAAGGGAAGAUAAGACCUGAGAAAUACUCAGGGGUGGCAAAGUCUGGCAUGGAGGACCUUGACAAAACUGCGUCCCAUUGGUACUAUGGGAACAGGGCAGAUUCUGCAAACUGAGGAGUAGCUGGGAAGAGCAAAGUGCAAGCAUGCAGUAUGCUCCUGCCUUUAUUGUCCCAGGGCACUCUAGGAUAACACAUAUGGUGGCUAAGAGCACAGACCUGGUAGUCUGGCAAAGAUGCUGCCUUCCAUUUGUGCCAACUGUGUUCCUUCAGAUCGUUGGCUUCACCCUUACGGCCCUCAGUGUCUUCUUUGAGGUGAGCCUGUUGUGGAGCUGCUAUAGUGUCUCCCAGGUGACUGACACACAGGGGCCUGGGACCUGGAGAGGGCCAGGGCUGCACAGCUGCUGUGCUGUGGUGGUUGGUGGCUCUGCUCUUCGUGACCUUUGCUUGGUGACUUUUCCUCGAGCUCAGCUCUGAGUUCCUUGUCAAGGACACUUCUGCAUCAGGAUUCUCUCUUUCCCUGGUUAAGUCUUGUUGCUUUCAAAUGUCUGCUUUAAUAGAAUCGAACAGAAAUGAAUUCUAAAAAGACCCCGUGCCUGGGGCAGACCUCCAUUUCUCUCUGUCAAAACCCACCUUCCGAGGCCUCUGGCUGUCCCGGAGCCUCAGCCGUGUCUGCUCUCACCGAUGUCUUGCCAUGAACUUGGUCAGUCGGGUUACAAGCGACACUGCCCAUUCCCACAGUAGCUGGUGAAGGUCCCCUGGGCAAUUUGGCCGCCCAACUGUUAUCAUGCAUUAACUCUGGUCACCUGGCUCCUUGAGUGCCAGCCAGCAACAGGUAUGGAGGCCAGGGAGUUCCCUGAUGACUGCCUGUCUGCGAGCUGGAGGACCAAGAGCUCUAUCUCUUUGUCACUGUCACCAAUAGGGCAGCUUACUUCCCUUGUUAUCCACCCUGGACACGUCUGUAUUUUUAUUUGACAAAUACAUAGUGCUAAGUCUUUGCUGGGUGCUGAUAUAUUAAUCCAUUCUAUCUACAAAACAACCCAACAAGAGCAGUUACUUUAAUUAAUACCAUUUUAUAUUUUGAGAAACUGAGGUACCGAUGUAAUAACUUGGUCAACCACAUAGCUAGUAAAUUGCAGAGUCUAGAUUUAAGCUCAGACAGCAUAGGUAGAGAACCUGAAUUGUGAGGCCUCUUGCUGAAAAGGGGCUGAGCCAUAGCAUGGGGGCAAACCAAGCCCAGUGCCCACCUGCAGGACGAUCCUUCAGGGGUGAUGAGCCCACCUGAGUGUCUCUCCUACUCUGGUGCUCUCAGGUCUUCCCUCUGCUCUCCUGAGGAUGCAACCUCUGCUGCUGGCACCCCACCCCUAGCUGGGAGUGUCUCCCAGGGGGAACUAAAGCCAGGGGCACUGCAGAUCUCUCUAGGUCUCCCUCAGGAACUGCCAUCCUGCUCUUCCCUCUGGGCUUUCAUUCUCACCCGUGUGGGUUCCCAGCAGUACUUGCUGCAAGCCUUCUCUCCCCUACCCCACCCUUCCUCCUGUAGCCUCCAUCGUCACCCUCCAGUCCCCCUCCCCCACCCGAAAAAUGCAGUGUGGCAGGGGAGGAGGGCCACAGUACCAGGGUGUUCUCCUGUCUGAGACACGAACUGCUCAGCAUUUCUCCCAGGAUGCUCUAGGGCACAGGCCCUGUGAUGGGGUUUCCACGGCCUCCUUGGAUGACUUCCUUAAGGCCUGGUUGUGCUAGCCUAGCUUCUGGUCUUACUUAGUGAAUAUCACUCACUGAUUUGGCAAGAAAAAGAGCAACACUCACAGGCCUCGCCCUGCACCCCUCCCUGUCCACUCCCUCUGCAGCCUCCUCCUGGGGGUAGAAGCCCCAGCCUAGCCCAGCCCAUUGGUGCUGUACCAGUGGGGUUCAGGUCAUAGGGAGUGCCAGCUCCCACCACUCCUAUGUGAAAGUCGCCCAUCCCUGGGGAGCAGAACUCCUGUCUCUGUCUGGAUCCUACUGUGAUCCCUCAAUAGACAUUCUCGGAGCCUCUCUAAUGACCCCCCCCCACCCCCCGGGGACUGUGACCACCUUGAAGUUACUGAGCCACCAGAAAACCAGUCUCUCUGUCACAAUGCUUGUUUGUAAACUGUUUUAUAAUCUCUAUAUGAUACUCUUUCAAAAAUAAUUUACUGUGUUUUAAUUCUACUGGGAAAGUUAA